rnacentral:rRNA from 1 species
UAGCGGAGCGUGUGGUUUAAUUCGAUGCAACACAAAGAACCUUACCAAGGCUUGACAUGCUAGUAGUAGGAACCCGAAAGGGCAACGACCUGCCUUCGGGUAGGAGCUAGCACAGGUGCUACAUGGCUGUCGUCAGCUCGUGCCGUGAGGUGUUGGGUUAAGUCCCAUAACGAGCGCAACCCCUGUUCUGUGUUGAUUUCUCACAGGAGACUGCCCAGGAAUUCUGGGAGGAAGGUGGGGAUGACGUCAAGUCAGCAUGGCCUUUAUGCCUUGGGCUACACACACGCUACAAUGGGUGGUACAAAGGGCAGCUAAAGAGUGAUCUGGAGCUAAUCCCAGGAAGCCACCCCCAGUUCAGAUUGCAGGCUGAAACCCGCCUGCAUGAAGUUGGAGUUGCUAGUAACCGCAUAA